GUAGGUGGCAAGCGUUGUCCGGAAUUAUUGGGCGUAAAGCGCGCGCAGGCGGUUUUUUAAGCCUGAUGUGAAAGCCCACGGCUCAACCGUGGAGGGUCAUUGGAAACUGGAGAACUUGAGUACAGAAGAGGAAAGCGGAAUUCCACGUGUAGCGGUGAAAUGCGUAGAGAUGUGGAGGAACACCAGUGGCGAAGGCGGCUUUCUGGUCUGUAACUGACGCUGAGGCGCGAGAGCGUGGGGAGCAAACAGGAUUAGAUACCCUGGUAGUCCACGCCGUAAACGAUGAGUGCUAAGUGUUAGGGGGUUUCCGCCCCCCUUAGUGCUGCAGCUAACGCAUUAAGCACUCCGCCUGGGAGUACGGCCGCAAGGCUG
rnacentral:rRNA from 1 species